CAGCACCUCAAGUGGUCAGGAUGAUUAUUGGGCCUAAAACAUCCGUAGCCGGCUCUGUAAGUUUUCGGUUAAAUCUGUACGCUCAACGUACAGGCUGCCGGGAAUACUGCAGAGCUAGGGAGUGGGAGAGGUAGACGGUACUCGGUAGGAAGGGGUAAAAUCCUUUGAUCUAUUGAUGACCACCUGUGGCGAAGGCGGUCUACCAGAACACGUCCGACGGUGAGGGAUGAAAGCUGGGGGAGCAAACCGGAUUAGAUACCCGAGUAGUCC
rnacentral:rRNA from 1 species